rnacentral:lncRNA from 1 species
GAGGGCAAGGACUUUGGACGCCUCUCUCCAGCAAGCUGGAGCCAGAGCCAGAGUUAACUGGCCCCCUGAGCCCCCUGUAAGGGGCAGUGGCCAGGCUUGGAGUUGGCGAGGGUGCCCUGGCUAGAAAAUGGAGAUGUAAAGUGUGCCCUUUUCCUGUGGCUCUGAAAGAGGGACCAGAAUCAAGGGGCUCUGGGGCCGUCCAAGAGCAAAGAUGGUCCCACACUGGAUUAGAGAAUUCCCAGAGCAAUCCUACCCUCUUCCCCGCCCCCACUGCUCUUGUCCCGCAGCAGAGGACCCUGCCAAGGUGAUGAGAACCUCCUUGUUAGAGGUCUUGGGAUAUGAACACCCUCCUCUCACCAGCAUGCUGGAAAGGAGACUCACAGGUUCUGAGCACUGUGUGUCAGGCCCUUCGCAUGUGUGACUACUUCAUCUGUCAUCCUGUGAGGGCCCCUACUGCCCAACAUCAGCAGGAGAAGAGCCAGUAUGCUGAACGGCUGUACAAAAACCAGACUGGAUGAGUGGGGAAAAGCAGCCUCAGGGGACAGGAGUAUGUCCUAGACCUCUGAGGAAUCUCCUGGAGAAAGUGAUCUCCAGGUGCCAUAAGCAUGCCUUCAGGAUGGGAUGUCUAGCCCCAAGAC